rnacentral:rRNA from 1 species
CAGCCGCCACGGUAAUACAGAGGAUGCAAGCGUUAUCCGGAAUGAUUGGGCGUAAAGCGUCUGUAGGUGGCUUUUCAAGUCCGCCGUCAAAUCCCAGGGCUCAACCCUGGACAGGCGGUGGAAACUACCAAGCUGGAGUACGGUAGGGGCAGAGGGAAUUUCCGGUGGAGCGGUGAAAUGCGUAGAUAUAUGGAGGAACACCGGUGGCGAAAGCGGCUCUCUGGCUUGUAACUGACGCCGAGGCUCGAAAGCGUGGGGAGCAAACAAGAUUAGAUACCCCAGUAGUCCCUGUCUCUUAUAC